AGAGUUUGAUCCUGGCUCAGGAUGAACGCUGGCGGCAUGCCUAAUACAUGCAAGUCGAACGAGAGGAAGGAAAGCUUGCUUUUCUGAAUCUAGUGGCGAACGGGUGAGUAACACGUAGGUAACCUGCCCAUGUGCCCGGGAUAACUUCUGGAAACGGAUGCUAAAACCGGAUAGGUAGCAGACAAGCAUUUGACUGCUAUUAAAGUGGCUAAGGCCAUGAACAUGGAUGGACCUGCGGUGCAUUAGCUAGUUGGUGAGGUAACGGCCCACCAAGGCGACGAUGCAUAGCCGGCCUGAGAGGGCGGACGGCCACAUUGGGACUGAGACACGGCCCAAACUCCUACGGGAGGCAGCAGUAGGGAAUUUUCGUCAAUGGGGGGAACCCUGAACGAGCAAUGCCGCGUGAGUGAGGAAGGUCUUCGGAUCGUAAAGCUCUGUUGUAAGAGAAAAACGACAUUCAUAGGGAAUGAUGAGUGAGUGAUGGUAUCUUACCAGAAAGUCACGGCUAACUACGUGCCAGCAGCCGCGGUAAUACGUAGGUGGCGAGCGUUAUCCGGAAUGAUUGGGCGUAAAGGGUGCGUAGGUGGCAGAACAAGUCUGGAGUAAAAGGUAUGGGCUCAACCCGUACUGGCUCUGGAAACUGUUCAGCUAGAGAACAGAAGAGGACGGCGGAACUCCAUGUGUAGCGGUAAAAUGCGUAGAUAUAUGGAAGAACACCGGUGGCGAAGGCGGCCGUCUGGUCUGUUGCUGACACUGAAGCACGAAAGCGUGGGGAGCAAAUAGGAUUAGAUACCCUAGUAGUCCACGCCGUAAACGAUGAGAACUAGGUGUUGGGGGAAUAACUCAGUGCCGCAGUUAACGCAAUAAGUUCUCCGCCUGGGGAGUAUGCACGCAAGUGUGAAACUCAAAGGAAUUGACGGGGGCCCGCACAAGCGGUGGAGUAUGUGGUUUAAUU
rnacentral:rRNA from 1 species